UUUAGAAACGGAGUGGCUGCAAACUGUACAUCUAGAAAGCUAUUGCCUGAGACACUGCUCUCAGUGUAAUCUGGACCACUCAGUGGCUUCUACAGACUUCCCUGCAUUCUUUCUUUCCAUCUGACCAGGCAUCCAGUUAGACCAGCAUUAUUUAUUGAAGAUACUUUCCCAUUUUCAUUGUGUGGUUUUGGACUCAUUGUCACAAAUCAAGUGACUGUAGAUUUAGACUCCCACAGUUAGAACUCUGCAGACAGAUCCUGCCAUCGGUCCCACUCCUAUCAAAGGAAAUAAUCUGCUGGAAUUCAAAAUGCAAUUACCAUGCUUGACCAAUUUCCUGUAUCCUGGAGCUGACCAUUAUUAAUGGCGUCCAAUUAUUCACAGCGAUCAAGCAGUCGACCUUGCUAAGUAGAUCACAGUGGUUGGCAUUUGACAGUCAGCCUGCUGGCUGUGCAUAAUGGAAGGAGACAAUGUCAUAUCCUGGUUGUCCUCUGUAAGAACAACAUGCCAUUUGCAGGCUUACCAGAAUGCUGUAAUAACUUGAUUGCAAGAUUUAGUCUGCCAUUAUGUUAAAAGCAUAUGUUUAUAAAUGUUGGAGAGAGCAGAGCAAUGAACUU